CGCGCGCAAAGCCGUCGAAGAGGGCCGUUGGGUUCAGGCGCGAGGCCGUCGGGACCUCAGAAUCAGCGUGGCCCGGCCCCUGUGAGGGUGUGCGCGCCGCUGGUCUCAGAGGCCGUGGGGUGAGAUGCCAGACGGCGGUCGGCGAGACAGAGGUUUCCCGGAAUCGUAUUUGGGGGCUCAACCAAAAUAGAACCUACCUCUGAGGAUUAUUCUGAAGAUUAGACGAAAUAACAUAUGUAAAAUGCCUGGCACAGAGCCAUCUUCUACUCCAAAGCCACUCUGAAAAGUGAAUUUGGAUAAAGCCUGAAGCUUACUAUAAUCCAAAUACAACAAAAAGACAUAUAGCAAAGGGGACCUACCAAACUGAAAGGAAGAGAAAGGUUUUGUCAGUAUAAUUGAGAAAGAGCCACAAAUUUAUGUUUUCACAUUUAAAAGAUUUUUAGAUGUAUUUGACUACCAAAUCCUUUUGGCCUCAGAGGGUCUAAAGAGACUUUUGUGUCAUGGAUCAUGCUUUGAAGAAAACUACUAUUUGCAGUUACCACCUGACCAUUAGUGGGAUAGCAUCUUCCACUGGAGAAAGUCAUUUGAAUGCCGUCUCAUCACAUUCACCUCCA